UAAAAAAAAAGUUUAAAAAAAGGAAUUGAGGGAAAUAAGCCAUUAGUGUGAGGGUUUAUCUAAGCAUUGGGCUAUGUCUCCUGUUUUCUGUAGCUGUAGGUGUUAGAGGCUAAGCUUUCCUGUGGUGUUCUUGUUGUUGUCUCCCCUGUGGUCUUUGGAUUUCCUUAGAGACUUCUUAAAUAUCUUGAGAUGCUUAGUUCUCUCAGCUGUCCGGGUUGUUAUACUGGAGCCCUAGUGAGACACAAGGCACUGGUGGAAGGGAAGCAUUCCAUCGUCCUACUGUGAGAUCUCCGUGCCCCUGGGCCUUGACCUUCAAGAGAGCUUCUUUAUUUCCACUCAGGUGAGGCUGGGAGGCUGGAAGAGGCUGAGUUGGGUACUUCCCUUCCCCCAGGCUCAUUAGGAAAACAGUUGCCCUGGAGGGCAGGCCUUGUUGAGAAGAAUGGAUUUCUCUGGGUGUAUUUAAGAAAGGCUAUUUUCCCCCCACCCCCUUGCAGAAGCAGGAGGGGAUUUUUCUCUGAUCUUCUUUGUGAGAACUUGACAGGGCUCCCGGCUACAGUACCUCUCACCAAAACCUCCCUGGAUUUUUCACUCUCCGUCUUGCCUGCACUGGGCCUCCAGCCACUUGUCAGCUACGCUCUGGGUGUUGCUACAGAUGGACGACAGAGCCCUGGUGUCGGUGGGAGUUUCUGCCGCGGCGCUUCUGCUCAAAGAACCAGCAGAGGAUUCAAAAGUACUGGGAGAUGAUGGGACCACAAGAUAGAAGGAACCUUGCCAAAUACUCAUCAAACUUCAUGUGAGAAAGAAACUUCUAUUGUGCCACCCACAUGCUUACUGAGCUGCCUGUCAUAGCCUGAAAAAUGCCCUCAGCUGAGAGAGACAAGAAGCUGUUGGCCUGUAGGAGACCCCUGAGCAUGUGACUGAAAGCAAGAGGACCCAGGUGGGUCCUGACAGUAUCUGCCACAUUUUGACCACCCCUCUCUUUCUAGGGAAACAGCCUUCCUCCAAUCUAUUAGCAAUCGAUUGCGGGAGGAGUGUGGUGAUAUAAUGCAAAGAAUAAAGCCUUUAGGAUCCGGUGAACCCAGGUUCUAAUCAUGUCUCUACCUCUUAUUAGCUGUGUGACCUUGGGCAAGUUAACUCACCAUGUCGGA